GUCCAGGGGCGGGAAUCGAACCCACAACCUUCCGCUUACCGGGCAGAUGCCACUAGGCUACCCUGGA
rnacentral:tRNA from 1 species